rnacentral:rRNA from 1 species
GACGAACGCUGGCGGCGUGCUUAACACAUGCAAGUCGAACGGUGAAGGGGCCUGCUUUUGUGGGUCCUGGAUGAGUGGCGAACGGGUGAGUAACACGUGAGUAACCUGCCCCCUUCUUCUGGAUAACCGCAUGAAAGUGUGGCUAAUACGGGAUAUUCUGGGUCUGUCGCAUGGAGGGCCUGGGAAAGAUUGCGCCUUUUUUGGUGUUUUUGGUGGGGGAUGGGCUCGCGGCCUAUCAGCUUGUUGGUGGGGUGAUGGCCUACCAAGGCGGUGACGGGUAGCCGGCCUGAGAGGGUGGACGGUCACACUGGGACUGAGACACGGCCCAGACUCCUACGGGAGGCAGCAGUGGGGAAUAUUGCACAAUGGGCGCAAGCCUGAUGCAGCGACGCCGCGUGAGGGAUGGAGGCCUUCGGGUUGUGAACCUCUUUCGCCAGUGAAGCAGGCCUGCCUCGUUUGUGGGUGGGUAGACG